rnacentral:rRNA from 1 species
AUUGAACGCUGGCGGCAGGCUUAACACAUGCAAGUCGAGCGUUCUUCGGACUUUUGAGUAAUUUCUCGGAAACUUCCUGUUUGAGGUGGAUAACUCCUGGAAACUGUUGCUAAUCCCGCCUACCAUCAUCUCUGCCCUUAUGUUAUUAGCUAGGAGGUGGGGUAAUGGCUCACCUAGGCGACGAUCCCUAGCUGGUUGGAGAGGAUGACCAGCCACACUGGAACUGAGACACGGUCCAGACUCCUACGGGAGGCAGCAGUGGGGAAUAUUGCACAAUGGGCGCAAGCCUGAUGCAGCCAUGCCGCGUGUGUGAAGAAGGCCUUCGGGUUGUAAAGCACUUUCGGCGAGGAGGCGGUAGACGAAGAAGAAGCACCGGCUAACUCCGUGCCAGCCGCCGCGGUAAUUG